rnacentral:lncRNA from 1 species
GUUUAAGACCUCAAUCAUUAUCAAACAUGCCUGGCCAUUUGAUGAGCUUUAAUUGAAUUUUUUCCCAAGUUAUUAUCUAUGGAGAGGGAGGACUCGGCUGAGAGAGUAAAAGGGAGAAAAGUCAGAUUUCAAGCUUGCUUUAUGGAUUAGGGUUGCACAAGAAUACUAGUGGUUAUGUUGCAUGUUGAUUUUCUUGUGGAUUGGAGUGAGUUUUGUGAAUUGUUUCUUAUGAGGGAGGAACACGC